rnacentral:rRNA from 1 species
AUGAACCUCACUUGUGGGGGGAUUAGUGGCGAACGGGUGAGUAACACGUGAGUAACCUGCCCUUGACUCUGGGAUAAGCCUGGGAAACUGGGUCUAAUACCGGAUAUGACUCCUCAUCGCAUGGUGGGGGGUGGAAAGCUUUUUGUGGUUUUGGAUGGACUCGCGGCCUAUCAGCUUGUUGGUGAGGUAAUGGCUCACCAAGGCGACGACGGGUAGCCGGCCUGAGAGGGUGACCGGCCACACUGGGACUGAGACACGGCCCAGACUCCUACGGGAGGCAGCAGUGGGGAAUAUUGCACAAUGGGCGAAAGCCUGAUGCAGCGACGCCGCGUGAGGGAUGACGGCCUUCGGGUUGUAAACCUCUUUCAGUAGGGAAGAAGCGAAAGUGACGGUACCUGCAGAAGAAGCGCCGGCUAACUACGUGCCAGCAGCCGCGGUAAUACGUAGGGCGCAAGCGUUAUCCGGAAUUAUUGGGCGUAAAGAGCUCGUAGGCGGUUUGUCGCGUCUGCCGUGAAAGUCCGGGGCUCAACUCCGGAUCUGCGGUGGGUACGGGCAGACUAGAGUGAUGUAGGGGAGACUGGAAUUCCUGGUGUAGCGGUGAAAUGCGCAGAUAUCAGGAGGAACACCGAUGGCGAAGGCAGGUCUCUGGGCAUUAACUGA